CCUACGGGAGGCAGCAGUGGGGAAUAUUGCGCAAUGGGCGAAAGCCUGACGCAGCGACGCCGCGUGAGGGAUGAAGGUCUUCGGAUCGGAAACCUCUGUCAGCAGGGAAGAACGGUCACUGUGCUAAUCAGCAGUGAAUUGACGGUACCUGCAAAGGAAGCAGCGGCUAACGCCGUGCCAGCAGCCGCGGUAAUACGGAGGGUGCGAGCGUUAAUCGGAAUUACUGGGCGUAAAGCGCUCGUAGUCGGUAUGUCAAGUCAAGGGUGAAAGCCCCGGGCUCAACGCGGGAACUGCCUUUGAAACUGGCAACCUGGAGUGCGUGAGAGGAUAGUGGAAUUCCAGGUGUAGGAGUGAAAUCCGUAGAUAUCUGGAGGAACAUCAGUGGCGAAGGCGACUAUCUGGAACAUAACUGACGCUGAGGAGCGAAAGCGUGGGUAGCAAACAGGAUUAGAUACCCGAGUAGUC
rnacentral:rRNA from 1 species